rnacentral:rRNA from 1 species
CUUGCUACUUUGCUGACGAGCGGCGGACGGGUGAGUAAUGCUUGGGAAUAUGCCUUUUGGUGGGGGACAACAGUUGGAAACGACUGCUAAUACCGCAUAAUGUCUACGGACCAAAGUGGGGGACCUUCGGGCCUCACGCCAAAAGAUUAGCCCAAGUGGGAUUAGCUAGUUGGUAAGGUAAUGGCUUACCAAGGCAACGAUCCCUAGCUGGUUUGAGAGGAUGAUCAGCCACACUGGGACUGANACACGGCCCANACUCCUACGGGAGGCAGCAGUGGGGAAUAUUGCACAAUGAGGCGCAAGCCUGAUGCAGCCAUGCCGCGUGUGUGAAGAAGGCCUUCGGGUUGUAAAGCACUUUCAGUAAGGAGGAAAGGGUAGUCUUUAAUAGAGGCUAUCUGUGACGUUACUUACAGAAGAAGCACCGGCUAACUCCGUGCCAGCAGCCGCGGUAAUACGGAGGGUGCGAGCGUUAAUCGGAAUUACUGGGCGUAAAGCGUACGCAGGCGGUUUGUUAAGCGAGAUGUGAAAGCCCCGGGCUCAACCUGGGAACUGCAUUUCGAACUGGCAAACUAGAGUGUGA